rnacentral:rRNA from 1 species
UUAGUGGCGAACGGGUGAGUAACACGUGAGUAACCUGCCCCCGACUCUGGGAUAAGCCCGGGAAACUGGGUCUAAUACCGGAUAUUACCUUUGACCGCAUGGUUGUUGGUGGAAAGAUUUAUCGGUGGGGGAUGGACUCGCGGCCUAUCAGCUUGUUGGUGAGGUAAUGGCUCACCAAGGCGACGACGGGUAGCCGGCCUGAGAGGGUGACCGGCCACACUGGGACUGAGACACGGCCCAGACUCCUACGGGAGGCAGCAGUGGGGAAUAUUGCACAAUGGGCGAAAGCCUGAUGCAGCGACGCCGCGUGAGGGAUGACGGCCUUCGGGUUGUAAACCUCUUUCAGUAGGGAAGAAGCGAAAGUGACGGUACCUGCAGAAGAAGCGCCGGCUAACUACGUGCCAGCAGCCGCGGUAAUACGUAGGGCGCAAGCGUUAUCCGGAUUUAUUGGGCGUAAAGAGCUCGUAGGCGGUUUGUCGCGUCUGCCGUGAAAGUCCGAGGCUCAACCUCGGAUCUGCGGUGGGUACGGGCAGACUAGAGUGAUGUAGGGGAGACUGGAAUUCCUGGUGUAGCGGUGAAAUGCGCAGAUAUCAGGAGGAACACCGAUGGCGAAGGCAGGUCUCUGGGCAUUUACUGACGCUGAGGAGCGAAAGCAUGGGGAGCGAACAGGAUUAGAUACCCUGGUAGUCCAUGCCGUAAACGUUGGGCACUAGGUGUGGGGGACAUUCCACGUUUUCCGCGCCGUAGCUAACGCAUUAAGUGCCCCGCCUGGGGAGUACGGCCGCAAGGCUAAAACUCAAAGGAAUUGACGGGGGCCCGCACAAGCGGCGGAGCAUGCGGAUUAAUUCGAUGCAACGCGAAGAACCUUACCAAGGCUUGACAUGUGCCAGACCGCCUCAGAGAUGGGGUUUCCCUUCGGGGCUGGUUCACAGGUGGUGCAUGGUUGUCGUCAGCUCGUGUCGUGAGAUGUUGGGUUAAGUCCCGCAACGAGCGCAACCCUCGUUCCAUGUUGCCAGCACGUAAAGGUGGGGACUCAUGGGAGACUGCCGGGGUCAACUCGGAGGAAGGUGGGGAUGACGUCAAAUCAUCAUGCCCCUUAUGUCUUGGGCUUCACGCAUGCUACAAUGGCCGGUACAAUGGGUUGCGAUACUGUGAGGUGGAGCUAAUCCCUAAAAGCCGGUCUCAGUUCGGAUUGGGGUCUGCAACUCGACCCCAUGAAGUCGGAGUCGCUAGUAAUCGCAGAUCAGCAACGCUGCGGUGAAUACGUUCCCGGGCCUUGUACACACCGCCCGUCAAGUCACGAAAGUUGGUAACACCCGAAGCCGAUG